UACAGAGGUCUCAAGCGUUGUUCGGAUUCAUUGGGCGUAAAGGGUGCGUAGGUGGCGCUGUAAGUCAGGUGUGAAAUUUCGGAGCUCAACUCCGAAACUGCAUUUGAUACUGCGGUGCUUGAGGACUGGAGAGGAGACUGGAAUUCACGGUGUAGCAGUGAAAUGCGUAGAGAUCGUGAGGAGGACCAGUGGCGAAGGCGGGUCCUGGACCCUUUCUGACACUGAGGUGCGAAAGCGUGGGGAGCAAACAGG
rnacentral:rRNA from 1 species